ACUCCUACGGGAGGCAGCAGUGGGGAAUAUUGCGCAAUGGGCGAAAGCCUGACGCAGCGACGCCGCGUGGGGGAUGAAGGCCUUCGGGUUGUAAACCCCUUUCAGCAGGGACGAAGCGCAAGUGACGGUACCUGCAGAAGAAGCGCCGGCUAACUACGUGCCAGCAGCCGCGGUAACACGUAGGGCGCAAGCGUUGUCCGGAAUUAUUGGGCGUAAAGAGCUCGUAGGUGGUUUGUUACGUCCGCUGUGAAAACCUAGGGCUUAACCCUGGGCCUGCAGUGGAUACGGGCAGACUAGAGGUAGGUAGGGGAGAAUGGAAUUCCUGGUGUAGCGGUGAAAUGCGCAGAUAUCAGGAGGAACACCGGUGGCGAAGGCGGUUCUCUGGGCCUUACCUGACACUGAGGAGCGAAAGCGUGGGGAGCGAACAGGAUUAGAUACCCUGGUAGUCCACGCCGUAAACGUUGGGCGCUAGGUGUGGGGUCCUUCCACGGAUUCCGUGCCGCAGCUAACGCAUUAAGCGCCCCGCCUGGGGAGUACGGCCGCAAGGCUAAAACUCAAAGAAAUUGACGGGGGCCCGCACAAGCGGCGGAGCAUGUUGCUUAAUUCGACGCGACGCGAAGAACCUUACCAAGGUUUGACAUGCAGGGAAAAGCCGUAGAGAUACGGUGUCCGUAAGGGUCCUGCACAGGUGGUGCAUGGCUGUCGUCAGCUCGUGUCGUGAGAUGUUGGGUUAAGUCCCGCAACGAGCGCAACCCUCGUCCUAUGUUGCCAGCGGAUAAUGCCGGGGACUCAUAGGAGACUGCCGGGGUCAACUCGGA
rnacentral:rRNA from 1 species